rnacentral:lncRNA from 1 species
GCAUAAGUGAGAAGUUUUUUUUGAGAGAAGAGACCGUCCAGUUUGUAUUAGUGCAGGGAAUAACUGUGACCUGCCCUCAGGCUGGGUCUAGGUAUGGUGUUUGUUUGCAUAAGGCACGAAUGUGCGCUCUCUGGAAGCCUCAGAGGGGUAGCAAGGAUACAAGUGCUGUGUCUUCAGAUCUAUUUGUGUUUUCUUUCUUACACUUCAGUACUCAGAUAAAGCAUUUACUCUAGUGAGGAACUGAAAUCCUACUUCCUGUCUUAGUUUGUGUAAAAUUUGCAUCUUAGAGAUGUUUUUUUUUUUUCCUCUUGAAGUGGACAUCUUCCCUUGUCUGUUCCAAAUCAUAGUGCAACCACCUGGUUGGCUGCCUGGGACCCCCAAAGCUGCUUCCUGGAUCUCACAUGGCGUCACGUCCAAGUUGCAUGAUGUCCCAAGGGCACUGCCAUCUGCCACACAUCAGUCAUUACAGGCCAACAUUACCAACCCAGUCUCCACAGACAGUAUUAAAAAGGUCUCUUUGCCAGGUCCUAGCGCAUUUUUCUUUCUGAAUGUUUACAUAUGAGCAUGAGUCACAAAUUAUCGGUGUAAGGACAGCGUAUUUGUGUGCAUCAGAACUGUGGGAUUAGUAAAGUCCAUGCUUGUGUUUUUUAGAGAUGUUCAUCAUUAAUUUACACAGCGGUCUCCUGUUGUGGUUUGGUCAGGAUUUGCGUCAGCACAGGAAAACAUUUUCUGCUCCCAGGAACCAUUUCCAGUUCUGGCAUAUAAAUUGUAGGUCUGUAGUCACUUCUGGAAUACUAAUACUAACUGUGUAUUCUAGGAAUAGAGCCCUUUCAUAUCAGUAGGAGUUUUUUCUUCCAUAUGGGAAGAAAUAGAAAUCUGAACCUAAAUGCCUUCAGAACUGGUAGAGGAGGCUGUGAAGGAAUCUUGCUGUAUUGCUUUCAAAUUAAAUAUUGUAUUAAGCAACUGUUGCCUCCUAGGAUUCUUCUUAUGACCAGAUGGAAACAUUAACUGACAGCAUUAUACACUGUUUUGACACUACACUUGGUGUCUGCAGAACUGAGAUCUGGGCAGACAGUAGUUCUCCCUUUUGUUUAAGGACCAAUGUCUAUGACAUGAAGUGUCCUACCCGCUUUUCUCUGUGGAGAUGCGAAGUGAAGCAGGUGUAGGGAGCAAGGAGUAGUCAAGAAUGUUGUGGGAAACAGUCAUAUGGGG